GGUGUGACCUCCCUGACUUCUUCCCUGACUUCUUUCUCGUUUAUGUGGGAUUAAGGGGGCUGUCUUGGUCCCCCGAGAGCUCCCUGUAACUUAGGGUUUUGGUCUCUAGUCAUUAUGUUGCUCUUGCAGGCUGGCCAGAGUGACCAUUCUGUAAUUGGGGCUCAGGUCAUGUCCCUCUCGCUUUUGGGGGGAAUUCAGGUCUUAAUCACGCGGGUCUUUGGGACCUCCCUGUAAUCAGGGUUGUGUCCUUCUUCUUCUCUUUUUGCUCUUGUGGGAUUAUGGCCCUUUAGGAUCAGCAGAGGGAUCUCCACCACAGUUAGGGUGCGAGUCACAUUGGCCCCUUUCAUGCUCCAGGCACAGUCCUGGCCCUCUGGAGUGAGUUUCAAGCUCGCCCUGGGUUCUGCAGCGACACCUCCUGGGUUCUGCCUCUUUUGAUCGUCUGAGUCCAGAGAGUCUGCAACAACUGCUGGCGAGUUCAAGGUUCCGUUCAACCCUUUACCUGUGAGGAAGCUGCUGGCUCCACAGUAGGGCAUCAGUUGAGUCUUUGGCACUUUGGGAGAGUUGGAGGCCUGGGCGUCGAGUGUGCCAUCAAAGCACAUGAUGGGGACAGCUCAGAAUUCCCUGCCAGCUAUAGGUCGAAGGCUACCUCUGGAGGCAAGAAGACAAGCACGUGAGGAAGAAAAUGGGAAGGAGGAAAGAAAAGAUGAUCCAGAAGAUGGAAGAGGAGGAGAAAAUACACACCGGGCACAAUGACUGUCCUGUAACUAGGGUGGAAGUCCCUCUUCUUUGUGGGGUUCGGGGGAGGGGAGAGCGCCAGCCUGAACCCAGUAGUACCUUGGGCAGUGAGACCUCCCUAUAACUAGGGAGCAGGUCUCUUCCCCCUCGGCUCCGUUAGCUGGCUGGGGAGUGGUAAGAAGGGUGCAGAUGACAUCCCUGUGUCUCAGGGAUGUCAUCGAGCUCUUUAAUCCCCAUGGGUAAUGUAGCCUCACUGCAAGUAGAGUUCAGGUCUCCCCUUUUGCUGUGGUGGGUUUAAGAACCGUUGGCAUGCUACUCGGUGACCUCCCUGUAAUCGGGGUCCGGCUCACGUCCCUGUGGUUGGUGGGGUUUAGGGCUCACUUACUAGGCUGGACGCCAGUGACCUGCCUGUAACUUUGGGUUUUGGUCUUUUCCCUUUUGGCUUUCUUGGCACUGUGGUGCUCCAGCAAGGCAGUCAGGAAGACCGCUCGCUUCACAAGAGUUCAGGUCUUGAUUUUCAUUCACACAGAUAUUGAGCCCUUAAGUACCUUGAGACCAAGACUGCCCUGUAAGUGGGAAACCGUGCUGUCUGGCUAGCCUGCCUGGGCGCCCAGUAAGUAGGGUUCUGGUCUCGUUUCUCUCUCCUAUGGCAUGAGCAGGGUGACCUUUUUUUGCCUUUUUAAUACGCUGGGCCCUUAGCCUUUCCCAGUUUGCUCUUUUUCUGCUUUGGGAAGUGCUGUGUCAUCUGGUAUGUCUGUGCUGGAGAGCGAAUGUGGUGUGCAUGGGGUGAAAGGUCUUUGGUUAUUUUAUUUUGUAAAUUGCUGCAGCUUUUGUCUUUUGGUUUGGUUUGAAUGAGCUCUUCCCAGAACUAGAAAAUGCUGUUUGUUUGGUUUUUUUAUGCCCCCCAUUUACCCGUAUAGUGGCACGAUUGACUGUUUGGGUCUCGUGCCUUAACGCUGAAAAAGCGUUUGGGCCCCUUGCUAAGAUCCUCUGUGCAUCACUUCCCUCUCCCUUCUGGGGGAAUGUCGGACUUCCAAGAACCUUAGGUCUGAGGGACCUCCCUGUAACCAAGGUUGAGGUCUCUUGGUAUUGUCCAUUAAGCCAGCCAGUGAGAGUGGCCACCGUGUAAAGAUGAGCCCUGGUCACAUCCCUGUGCCUUGGUGGAAGGGGCGAUUAGAGAUUUCUAAUACCUUUGGGGAUAUGACCUGCCUGUAAUUUGGCUUCAGGUCUCUCUUUUUUUUUUUUUUCUCCCCUUUGGUACGUUAGCCACCUUGUUUUAAGAUUUCCCCGCUCUCUUCUCUUCUCUCCUCCCCCCCC